UACGUAGGGGGCAAGCGUUGUCCGGAAUCAUUGGGCGUAAAGAGCGCGUAGGCGGUCCGGUAAGUCGGUUGUGAAAACUGGGGGCUCAACCCUCAGAGGCCGACCGAUACUGCCGGGCUAGAGUCCGGAAGAGGCGAGUGGAAUUCCUGGUGUAGCGGUAGAAUGCGCAGAUAUCAGGAGGAACACCGAUGGCGAAGGCAGGUCUCUGGGCCGCAACUGACGCUGAGGAGCGAAAAGCAUGGGGGAGCGAACAGG
rnacentral:rRNA from 1 species